rnacentral:ncRNA from 1 species
GCGGUUUGCCCUCACGGGUGAUUAAAAGGGAAUCGGGUGGAAAUCCCGGACAGUCCCGCUGCUGUGAGCCGCCCCUUAUGAAAGGGUCGAACAAUAUGCCACUGGAAAUUCAUAUAGCUCCAAUCAGUUAUUAUGAAGUCUAACGAUUGUUGGAGGUUAACGGGAAGGCGUUCGAUACCGGGCGGCAAGUCAGAAGACCUGCCAUUGCG